GCUCGCGCCAGUAGUCAAGUUGAUGAAGGAUCUGCGCGUGGUGUUUGAGGACGAGAUUUGCCUGCUACCAGAGAAGACCGGCGGAUGCAGCUUGAUUUGCUCAUUCAGGAAGUGACGGUGAUUGGACUAACCACCCACGGUGCUUUCUUCUAUGUGGAUCUUAAGCCUCUUAAAACAAUCAACAUAGGGAGAAGUUGCUGCCAUGAGUUUGAAACUACAUCUAAUUGAAUAAACAGACCAGCUCCUCAGUAGACGUAAGAUCCCUUCCCUAACGGCAGAAUACACUCCCUAAAGAAGAACACAUCUGCAAAGAGUUGGCAAAAAACGUUCUCCAAGAGGCCCCAAGUUCUAGCAAUGGAGAUACCUGGGCCAAGGCCAGGCACCGGCCAAAACCUCCUGUGACUAAUUCCCCCGGGACUCAAGCAGCUCAGGCCCAGCCACGAAUCCACACCAAGGACAACUUGCCCCCAGGAUCCCAGACCUACCUAGGGUCUCAUUGUAGGCCGGUAACCUAUGUCUGCCAGCACAGACUCUCCAAAAGGCACCAGAUGCAACUGCCAGAAAGUCACCUUUCUAAACCCCACUCAGACAGGAACCACAGCCCCAGGGGGUGACUCUCUAAUAACCCAAGCCCCAGAUGCCCCAAACCCAGACACCCCCCUCCCAACUAGGACAUUGUCCUCACAGGACAAACCCAAAGACCUUCCAUCCCACUUGCUGAUGGUGUCAAUCAUAUUGUGCAAUUAAUCUGUUAUGUCCAAUCUGGGAGGUAUAUGUUGCAUUUUUGUAGUGUCAGUGUUGUUGCAGAUGAGUGUCAUUUUUUUUCACUAAUUAGCUGACUUCUGAAGGCCGUUCAUGACAUUGGAUUUUGCUUAUAUUUAUUAACCUUUGCAAGACUGCGUUCCUCAUUUCCAUCAAAUUUCAAAUUACAUCAGCGCACGGUAUUAAAAGGAGACAAUUUCUAUGUGUGCAGUGCAAUCCUAAGGUUAAUGAAAAAUGUCUGGGAAUAAAAAAAAAAUUAAAAUAAAAAAAAAACAGUCAGACACUUUUCAGCAGAGCAAAGGAGGAUGAAACUAUACAUUAAAUUUCUCAUAUCCUGCUGCAGUUUGAAAAAGAAACAUGAGUGGGAAGAAAUAUCUCAGAGGUGAGAGCACGAGGAGUGCACAGAAAUUCUGAUUAGGGUUUAAAUGAAAAAACAUUACAGAGUGUGUCUGAGGAUGUUAGAGAAUAAUGACACAGAAACAAACGCAAGCCAAGCGUGCAUACAAUUUAAUAUCCUACAAAUGUGGAAUUAUUCUUGUUUUUGUCACAUCAAUUUGCCCCUUCCUACCACCAGUAAUGAGUUUUCUUUUCCUUUCCUGUUUUCGAAUCACUCCGAUCUGUCACAAACAGCACUUUAAAAAUUGCUGUAACCUAGCUGCAAGGGAACCUUUCAACUGACAAACACGGCUUUUUUUUUUUUUUUCCUUUUAUCUAUUGAUUCGCUGAUAACUACCAUGAAAGUGAGGUGGCUGAAUAAGCAAGGUGGGGGUGGGCUGGAGAAAAUUCAAUAAUUUAACUUUUUUUUUCUUUUUUUUUUUUUCUUGCUGAAGGGAAGCUACAUAGAUAAAAGCUAAAUUGAAUAUGGUCAUCCAGUGCGUGCAGAUCACUGUGACCUGAUGUCACGCUGAAAAAAAAAAUAUAAAAGCUCAAAGCAAAAGCCGGACUUUUUCUUUUUUUUUUUUUUACUCCGCAGUUUAAUACCUCCAAACCUCCAGUUAACCGCAGCACAAAGAGCUCAUCUGAAAAAUCUAUCUGCAAAAAAAAUCCUCAAUUUAACAAGUUGAACUCCAUUACAUAUAACGGCUGACAAGAAUCACCAGCUGAACUUUUUUUUUUUUACAUUUAGCGACAUCAUGUUUUACCUAUGGUGAAUUAAUACAUAAUUAAAAGACAUUGCUAUUUAAAGAAACAUAAGUAGAAGGUUUGCCAUGAAGACAUUCUGCUCAGACGAGAACUGAGCUCUUUGGAAACACAGACCAGCAGUGAAAGAUGGCGACCGGUGCCUCGUUCUGCUUUUCUUCAGUGGGGACAGGAAACCUGAUCAGAGUUGAUAGGAAGAUGGAUGGAGAUAAAUACCAAACCCUCCACCCAGGGCGGCACUCAAGCAAUCAUCAGUUGCGCCCCAAACGACUUUUUUAUUGUUGUUUGGCUAUUUUCAAAGAUUUUACAGCUUCUACACUACCUAAGAAAAACACAUAAAUCUGUCCAUUUGCUGGAAAAUUCAGACAGAUUUUUCUUUUGUUUCAUUAGUUGUUAAUGUUUUCAUUAGCCACACAAUAAAAAAAGGUGUGCUGCCUUUUGCAGUAGGGGGUUUGUGGAGGGAAUACGUCUUAGGAGGUGCUACACUGCAUUUCGUCGCUUGUUGGAAAAACCCAGCGGACUGUUUUGGGCACAGUAUUUACCACGUUUAUUAGCCCAUGUGUGUUCCUGAUUGGUCAAGGCCGAGUUUGGACUGCUACUGAGCGAAGGGUGGGCCAAGACAAACUCAGUGGCACAUUUCACCUUGGGAAGUGUUUGAGUUACAGUUUUUGUCAGCAAAGCUGGAAAAAUCCCCCACAGUAGGACUCAAACUUCUGUUUGUCAUGGAUGUCCUGGAGCUGUGUGUUCGACAUGGUUCACUGCACUUGUUGAAUUACCUUACCACUGAGUUAAAACAAAUUCAGACUAUUUUACACUGAAUUAUGCUCCAGAAUUUUUCUGCCGAAUCUAUCUUAAGCUGAUUUUGUUUUGCUUCUAAGGCCACUAUCUUGUGAUUCUGUAAAAACGGUAUUUAAUUUACUACUUUCCUAUUUAGCCUUCCUGUUAUCUAUCUAUUCUUCUCGUUUGCUCCCUCCCAACUGAAAUGAGCUGGAGUCUUGCUGAGGACAACAGUUUCCUGACAUUGUGGUAUAAAAAUUCACAUACAAAUUGCUGUUGUAAAAAUACUCGGUUUUGUGUUCAUCGGCGCGUACUUGUCAUGCUUUCUUUCCACCAAAAGACGGCUUUACUGCACUGAAUUUAAAGCUAUUACUUUAAAACCAGAAAGGAAGAAUGAAAAAGAUAAGCAAAACAAAAACCAUUACCAAACUAAACAUGAUUCUAUGAACUGUUCCGUCACAAUAGCGCAUUUUGGUGGACGAUAACUUGUCCCAGGAAUUAUUGCGAUAAGUGAUAUUGUCAUUUUGAGAUAAUUUUCAAGUAAUUUAAUGGCAGUUGCAUAAUAAUGCAAGUACACCCUCUUAAAUAGAAAUAGACUCUUAAUUUCAAACAAACUUAACAGUGGAACUGGAAGGUAUUUUAAAUAUCCAAAAUAAAUAAGUAAAAUAAUAAAUAAAAUGGAUACUGAAGUCUCUGUAAGAAAACUGGCCUUCAAAAAAAAGUACCAGUUGAGACCAAUACACCAGACCGAAGCUUUUC